UUUGACCCUACAUGAUAAAUGCGUCUGUACCUAGAGGACGAUGUUCCUCUGAAGACUCAUUAGGCAUACAGACACCAGACUGCCACCAGUGUUGGGGGAUGGGCCAUGAAGAAGGAGGUAUUGCCUCAAUGUCGUGUCAAAUUCUCCUGAAACCUACCGGCUACCAGUAGCUGUUUUAGCUCGUCGCCUUUUCCUUUUCACGCUCUGUGGAGGACAAAACCCCCAUCGAGCAGCAUUCAAUCAAAUGCUCUUUCCUUCCACUCACUGAGGUCUGGCUGGCGUCUUGAGGACACUGUGAAACAGAUCAGCGUCCCCCAGAGAAUACCAAGAAUUCAGUAUUCGAUAUGGCUGAUUAGGGCUGUUAGAUGAGGAUCAGAGAUGACCUUGGUGGACGAAUCAUCUGCAUUUUCUUCAGAGAUUCAGAGAGAAGCUUCUGGGAUAAAUAAUCAUCAUCACCUUGCUAUACCAUACUCACAAUUCUUAAGUAUGUGGUUUUUAUGAAGCUUUUGUGACUAUGAGUGCUAUGUUUAAAAAUGCAUUUAGGCUUAAUGUCACUUUGUAGGCUACUGACAGGCAUUCAGCCUACAGUCUACUGCAGCUGUGUGUGUCAGAACUUACCAGAAGCUCCACUUGUUGGUAUGUUGGUAUAUGGCUAAUAUGUUAGCAGACAAUUGCAUAUUUACACAUCCAGCAGAUUAUUACCAUUAAUGCUUCAGGCCACUUAACAUGACUCAAAUAUUCAGCCUCUUUAAGUCUCUUUAGCUGCUAUAUGAUCCAGCUAGUCUGCCAUUUAGAGCUGGACAGAUCGUGUACAGAGGGUUUAUCAGAGCUUUUCAGCUGAAGGCUGCUGCGUCUGGAAACUCUGCUGAUAAGAGUUAUGAGACUGAACCAAAACAAUAAAGUUUAAAGGCUUGUCAUGAAGCAGAAGUACUGUUACCAUGGUUACCUGCAGUUUAAUAUACCUUGCAUACCCUGUUUGUUUUUGUUUUUUUUACCUGAUGCCUGACAGCUAAUCAGAAACAAGUAUAAUCUGUGCCCAUGGUACAGUCCAACACCUAAAUGAACAAAAUAGCUGACGGAACACAAAAUGACACAUAGGGGUUUCAAAUGGGAUUCUGGUGCAGGUGUCGCAGGUGUGGGUCCAGUGAGUUGGGGGCUUGUCAUCAGUAAUCGAUGAAGGUAUUUUUAAUACAUCAGCUCUGUGCACCUACUGGGGAUUGAAUGUGGUUUCCAUACCAUUAAGGAUGAUUUAUGGGAUAAACACCCCCACCCCCACUACCACCCCAGACGACAGGUGUCACACAUAAGCUUCAGCAGCCUUUAAGCAUGUUAUGAAUGCAAAGCACAGGCCUCACAUGGAGAAGGUUGAAUGGGGGAAGAAGAUGGAUGGAAGGGGGAGAUUGGUAGAAACGAUGGCAGCGAGAUAAAGAGACGGUAGAUGAACAUGCCUAGUGUUGUGUCACUGCUUCCUUGUUUUUGGAAAAGUUGAUAUUGCAUAAUGUUUAAAGCUGCUGUAAUCAAUGUUUUUACAAUAACAGAUUAAGUAUCUGUGUAAUAUUAAAGUAGUGACAAACCCACAAAUAUCUGUCAUGACAAUGCUUUUUUUUUAGCAUUAUUGUUUCCAGCAACACCAUGCAACUGUUUUUCAUGAGAAAGCUCUGCCCCACUGUACAUUGCAUACUUGAAUAAGCACAACUAAAGCACAACUCUAGACUGUUUUGCUCUUGGUUCAUUAUAAUUUGCUAUGCCUUGCCAGCAUGACCAACCUGUGGUUGGUUUUGGUAAACGCUAUCUUCUCCCUCCUAACGCGGAAGUUGGCGUAACAGAAAACCACCAAUAUCUACAUAUUUAAAUAUUUGUUCAUUAAGCCUCAAAUGGCAAGAAAAAAUGUAAAUCCGCCAGUGUUUUAACACUUCAGACGUGCUUGGUGUAAUUUCAUCGUAUGCGUGAAGAGUUAGGGAGGCACAUGAUGCCAGGCGAAACUAUGGCAGAGAUGAGUGAGAGGAGUAAAAGGGAAAGACUGGGAGAAAAAGCAGGAAGCUGCAACGGAAUUUCCACACCCUGAUGUGGGUGGACCCCUCCUGCCCAGAGAACAGAGAGGGCACAUUCUCCCAUCUCUGCCUUCCUACCCCCUUUUUUCUUCUCUGCCUCGCCUCCCUCCCAGCUUUCUCUUUUUGCUCGGACAAUAGGGGCCACGGUGAAACA